rnacentral:rRNA from 1 species
GGAGUUUGGACCGUGUCUCAGUUCCAAUGUGGGGGACCUUCCUCUCAGAACCCCUACUGAUCGCAGGCUCGGUGGGCCGUUACCCCGCCGACAACCUAAUCAGACGCAUCCCCAUCCCAUAGCGAUGAAUCUUUGGUAUUACUCAUAUGUCCUCAUAAUACAACAUAGGGCAUUAAUCCGACUUUCGCCGGGC